UACAGAGGGUGCUAGCGUUGUUCGGAAUCAUUGGGCGUAAAGGGCGUGUAGGCGGUUUGUUAAGUCCCGUGUGAAAGCCCCCGGCUCAACCGGGGAACGGCGCGGGAAACUAGCAGGCUUGAGUUCCGGGAGAGGGAAGCGGAAUUCCGGGUGUAGCGGUGAAAUGCGCAGAUAUCCGGAGGACACCGGUGGCGAAGGCGGCUUCCUGG
rnacentral:rRNA from 1 species